rnacentral:rRNA from 1 species
AACGUAGGAGACAAGCGUUAUCCGGAGUUACUGGGCGUAAAGGGCGUGUAGGUGGUUUCGUAAGUCUGGCGUGAAAUUUUUCGGCUUAACCGGGAAAGGUCGUCGGAUACUGCGGAGCUAGAGGACGGUAGAGGCGUGUGGAAUUCCGGGUGUAGUGGUGAAAUGCGUAGAGAUCCGGAGGAACACCAGUGGCGAAGGCGACACGCGGGGCCGUACCUGACACUGAUGCGCGACAGCAUGGGGAGCAAACAGG